AUAUAAUAAUGAAUAAUUUUAGAUUAACGUAUUUAUGGCCGCGAUUGGGAGUACAAAAUUAGAGUCAAUCAUUGAGGAUGUUGUGCCCACGCAUGGUACAGAAAAGGAACAGAAAGCACAAGAAGUAUGUUACGAAAAUUUUACUAAAGAAUAUACAUUUUGAUAUAGGUACUGUAAGCUUAUUUCCAACGAGUGUUUCGCGUAAGUGAAAUUGUAAAAUUACCUUAAAGUUCGUUAUAUCUCACGAAAGUUUAAAUUCGAUCAUUUUGUUAAAACUGUUUCUUUUACAUAUAACUCACAUUUAUAGACUGGUCUAACGCGAAAUUUAUUCAAUUACCUUUAUUUACUGACGUUUCGUUUCGACACAGGUUUCACUGGUCGUGGUCGCGGCUAGAG